rnacentral:rRNA from 1 species
UACGGGGGGGGCAAGCGUUGUUCGGAAUUACUGGGCGUAAAGGGCUCGUAGGCGGCCAACUAAGUCGGAUGUGAAAUCCCCAGGCUUAACCUGGGAACUGCAUCCGAUACUGGAUGGCUUGAAUUCGGGAGAGGGAUGCAGAAUUCCAGGUGUAGCGGUGAAAUGCGUAGAUAUCUGGAGGAAUACCGGUGGCGAAGGCGGCAUCCUGGACCGAGAUUGACGCUGAUGAGCGAAAGCGUGGGUAGCAAACAGG